CAGGCGGGCAGUUUGACUGGGGCGGUCGCCUCCCAAAGAGUAACGGAGGCGCGCGAAGGUUGCCUCGGGGCGAAUGGAAACCGCCCUUUAAGAGCGCAAGCGUAUAAGGCAGCCUGACUGAGAGACCGACGGGUCGAUCAGGGACGAAAGUCGGUGCUAGUGAUCCGGCGGUGCAGAAUGGAAUGGCCGUCGCUCAACGGAUAAAAGCUACCCUGGGGAUAACAGGCUGAUCUUGCCCGAGAGUUCCCAUCGACGGCAAGGUUUGGCACCUCGAUGUCGGCUCGUCGCAUCCUGGGGCUGAAGCAGGUCCCAAGGGUUGGUCUGUUCGCCCAUUAAAGCGGUACGUGAGCUGGGUUUAGAACGUCGUGAGACAGUUCGGUCCCUAUCCACCACGGGCGUAGGGUAUUUGAGAAGAUCUGCUUCUAGUACGAGAGGACCGAAGUGGACGAACCGCUGGUGUACCGGUUGUGACGCCAGUUGCAUACGCCGGGUAGCUAUGUUCGGACCGGAUAACCGCUGAAGGCAUCUAAGCGGGAAGCCGUCUUCAAGAUAAGAUACCCCGUUUCGUAAGGAAGUAAGGCGUCCCGUAGACUACGGGUUUGAUAGGCCGGAGGUGUAAGCGCAGCGAUGCGUUGAGCUGACCGGUACUAAUACGCCGAGGCCUUUGUCUC
rnacentral:rRNA from 1 species